UCUUAGUGGCGGACGGGUGAGUAACGCGUGGGUAACCUGCCUUAUACAGGGGGAUAACACUUAGAAAUAGGUGCUAAUACCGCAUAAGCGCACGGGGCUGCAUGGCCCAGUGUGAAAAACUCCGGUGGUAUAAGAUGGACCCGCGUCUGAUUAGCUUGUUGGCGGGGUAACGGCCCACCAAGGCGACGAUCAGUAGCCGGCCUGAGAGGGCGGACGGCCACAUUGGGACUGAGACACGGCCCAGACUCCUACGGAAGGCAGCAG
rnacentral:rRNA from 1 species